GGGCCGCUAGCUCAUCCGGUUAGAGCAUCUGCCUUUUAAGCAGAGGGUGCCUGGUUCGAGUCCAGGGCGGCUCA
rnacentral:tRNA from 1 species